rnacentral:rRNA from 1 species
UACGUAGGGUGCGAGCGUUAAUCGGAAUUACUGGGCGUAAAGCGUGCGCAGGCGGUUUUGUAAGCCAGAUGUGAAAUCCCCGGGCUUAACCUGGGAAUGGCAUUUGGGACUGCAAGGCUGGAGUGCGGCAGAGGAGACUGGAAUUCCUGGUGUAGCAGUGAAAUGCGUAGAUAUCAGGAGGAAUACCGACGGCGAAGGCAGGUCUCUGGGCUGACACUGACGCUCAUGCACGAAAGCGUGGGGAGCAAACAGG